GUGUCAUCGAGGAUAACGUAAGGGAAAAUAAUGAUAUUACCUUACUAUUAGUGUCGUCCAAGUACUCGUGCCAGAAGACUCGGUAAGGCGAGAGACGCAAACGUUAGUCGUCUUGAUCAGGCGUAAAGGGUUUGUAGGCGGCUUUAAGUAUCUUAUUUUUAGUUUACUAUUUUAAUGUUUAUAAUUAUAAUUGAAUUUUUAUUUCUCCUUCAUUUAUAAAUUUUACUAAAUUAAUAAUUUUACAUUAAAAAAAUAAGAAAGGAUCAAUUAAAGCUAGAAUCUAAAAGAGGUUAAAACAAUACUUUAGAAAGGAGUGCUAACCGUAGAUAAUGAGCAGAGUGUUAAGGGCGAAGGCAUUUAUCCAAUAAAGAUUGACGCUGAGAAACGAAGGUGAGGACAGAAAAAA
rnacentral:rRNA from 1 species